AAGAUCAUGCUUCACAGGAUCAGUUCUGUAGGAGUUGAUCUCCUUUUCCCUCCCUAACACGGGAGUAAACGUAACCACGAUGAGGAGAGAUAGCUCUCUUCCUUGAGCGUGAGAACGACAGAGUUCUCGACUUGUUUCGAGAUCUCUGUCAUCGAUGAUCGUUCACUCUUUGCACUCGGUGCAAAGGGGAUGGGAAGUUGAGCUUUCUGAGUGGU